rnacentral:misc_RNA from 1 species
UAUCUCCCUCACACCCCAGCAGUAGAAACACUGCCCCCAAGCUAUAUACUACCUGGAAAAUUAUAAACUCAAUAAAAUUUUCCAUAUCCUUCCUAUUCUCAUUCUUUAUUUAUAUAGAGUAACAUUUGUUGUGGUUACAUGGGCUUCCGGAAUAGGCUCCACCAGAAUAAUUUGCUGGCCCUCUCCAUGAAGAACACUUGGAAUUCCCAAAACUAGCAGAGACCCUUCUACAUCCUUCUUAUGCCUUCUGGAAUAAGUAAUCUAGCCUCUUAUUGGUUCCCCCUUUGGUUCAGGUUGCCCAACUCUUUCAAUAAACUAUCAGUCCAUUUCCCGCAUUUUCCCUAUCAAUACCAACCCCCUCAAGAAUAGCCUUGUCCCCAAGGCUGUAUUGGAGACACCAAAGGAGUAAUUCCAGCAAUAAGCAAUACAGCAAUUCCACCAGAUUAUAUAAGACGAACAAAACAAAGUUGGGGGCCAUUAUAUUCUAUCAAUGCCAUCAGCGCGCAAAAUGAUUUUAAGGCACCCACCCACAUAAGUAAAAUUGGAAACAAUAAAUCAGCAAUAUGCCACCAAAAUGUCAUGGAAUUUGUUUCUAAAAGAAGCAAUCCCAAGUAGGAUAAAUGCUUUACCAUGUUUACACCCUAGGCAUCUGAUAUGAAUACCAUGACGUGAAUGAAAAGAAGGACUGUAAUCCGAGUUUCUAAUGGGCUAUUAACCUCUAUAACUUUGGCAAUUCUGAUAGGAAAGACAUGAAUCCCCUCUUGUGUAGGUUUCAACCAUAUUCGCACAACCAAAACAGAGAAAAUAAUGCAAUAUCCCAAUCCUGGUCUUCGUCGCACGAUCUGAGUUCCUCUCGAUCCAUGAAGGUAAUACUCACAUAGAGACCCACGUAAACCAACAAGCUCUUCUUGCUGUAAUGCCCCAUUGACCGCCAUCAGUGUCCCUUCCUCCACAAGCUCUAAUUUUUUGUUGUUAGUAAUUUGAGAUUGGUGGUUCAUGGCUUGCUGUUUAGUGGAAGAUAAUUGAAUUACAAUCGAAGAGGGAAGAGAAAAUAUUAUUACGAUGGUGGGAAAGGAAUGAGAAGUGGGUUUCUCAAUUUUUU